rnacentral:rRNA from 1 species
GACGAACCGUGCGAACGUUGUUCGGAAUCACUGGGCUUAAAGGGCGCGUAGGCGGGCUGCCAAGUCUGGGGUGAAAUCCCACGGCUCAACCGUGGGACUGCCUCGGAUACUGGCGGCCUCGAGGGAGGUAGGGGCAUGCGGAACUGUGGGUGGAGCGGUGAAAUGCGUUGAUAUCCACAGGAACUCCGGUGGCGAAGGCGGCGAGCUGGACCCUUUCUGACGCUGAGGCGCGAAAGCCAGGGGAGCGAACGGG